AUUUUUACGUACUUCUGUCAACUUAUUAGAAAGCAUCUCCUCUUCUGCUAACAAAACGUCAUUUUUCCCCAACAAAACGUGAACGUCAUUUUUCCCCAACAAAACGUGAACGUCAUUUUUCCCCAACAAAACGUGAACGUCAUUUUUCCCCAACAAAACGUGAACGUCAUUUUUCCCCAACAAAACGUGAACGUCAUUUUUCCCCAACAAAACGUGAACGUCAUUUUUCCUCAACAAAAUAAUCCAUAUAUUCAUCACUCCUGAGUUCUUCCUC